ACAAAAUAUGUAAAUUACCUUCGACUCUCUCUGCAGUGUGCAUGUUAAUCUUCAUAAUACGUCAACAAAAUUUAUGUUGGUUUAAAGAAAAUGAAUACAAGCGUUUCAAUCUUAAUAUCUUAUCUUGGAAAGAAUGAAAAUAAAUUUCGGCUUUAUGGUAGCUCAUUCUCUGCUUGCCGUAGGUCUCACUAACCUCAUUACAAGUGUAUCUCUGAUUCAAUACAAAUUCAGAGAGUUGAUGUCACUAUGGAAAAUAUUUGUAUUAGUGUAUUGGAUUGGUGUUAUUAAUGUUGUUGAAGUUUUUAUUUUGAUGUGUAUAUUUACGGAGGUUGGCUGUCUAGAAAUGAAACGCGGUUUUCUGAAUGGUCAGACUAAAGUUGAAGCAUUUGAAGAACAAGUCAGUGGAUUUGUAUAAUGAGAUGGUUGAAUUAAUGGGGGAUGAACCUGCUAUGGGCACUAAGGAAACUACCAUUAGAAUGAUGACCGAAGAUAAUGAAUCUUUGACCCCUGCAUUAUUUAACUUGGAUGAUUUUGAUGAUGACGAACAUGAUAAAAGUUCAUAUACGUCAGUAGGAGGAACUACAUAUGCAUGGGGAAUGGGUAAAGGAAUUAUUUUUGGCUCAUAUACGUCAGCACCAGGAGGAAUGGAUAGAGCUAAAUCAGGUGAUAAGCGUUCCUCGUCAAGCCAACCAGGUAACAAUCUUUAACAUCUUAAGAAACAGUCGUUGAUGGUGGUUUUUAGUUCAAGGGCUAAAAUCGUAAAUCCUGUAUUUAAUGCUCUGUCAUCCUGCAAAGGAACAGAAGCCAUUUAAAAGCAAUGAGUGCUUAAGCCUCUUCGCUCACAUA